UGCAGUCGAGCGAGUCUGCCUUGAAGAUCGGAGUGCUUGCACUCUGUGAAACAAGAUACAGGCUAGCGGCGGACGGGUGAGUAACACGUGGGUAACCUGCCCAAGAGAUCGGGAUAACACCUGGAAACAGAUGCUAAUACCGGAUAACAACAGAUGAUGCCUAUCAACUGUUUAAAAGAUGGUUCUGCUAUCACUCUUGGAUGGACCUGCGGUGCAUUAGCUAGUUGGUAGGGUAACGGCCUACCAAGGCGAUGAUGCAUAGCCGAGUUGAGAGACUGAUCGGCCACAUUGGGACUGAGACACGGCCCAAACUCCUACGGGAGGCAGCAGUAGGGAAUCUUCCACAAUGGACGCAAGUCUGAUGGAGCAACGCCGCGUGAGUGAAGAAGGGUUUCGGCUCGUAAAGCUCUGUUGUUGGUGAAGAAGGACAGGGGUAGUAACUGACCUUUGUUUGACGGUAAUCAAUUAGAAAGUCACGGCUAACUACGUGCCAGCAGCCGCGGUAAUACGUAGGUGGCAAGCGUUGUCCGGAUUUAUUGGGCGUAAAGCGAGUGCAGGCGGCUCGAUAAGUCUGAUGUGAAAGCCUUCGGCUCAACCGGAGAAUUGCAUCAGAAACUGUCGAGCUUGAGUACAGAAGAGGAGAGUGGAACUCCAUGUGUAGCGGUGAAAUGCGUAGAUAUAUGGAAGAACACCGGUGGCGAAGGCGGCUCUCUGGUCUGUUACUGACGCUGAGGCUCGAAAGCAUGGGUAGCGAACAGGAUUAGAUACCCUGGUAGUCCAUGCCGUAAACGAUGAGUGCUAAGUGUUGGGAGGUUUCCGCCUCUCAGUGCUGCAGCUAACGCAUUAAGCACUCCGCCUGGGGAGUACGACCGCAAGGU
rnacentral:rRNA from 1 species